UCAAUUACACGAAUUUCUCACAUUAUCGACGUGGAAUUCUAUAUUCUUUCUCCUAGUGAGGGUAUUUAAAAAAAAAAAUUAAAUCCUUGAAAUCAAAGCUAGCAGCCCUAAUCAAGUUGUUUUUUUUUUCAACCCACCGCCACCCCUCUUCGCAUCAUCAUCAGCCGUUCGUCAACCGACGCCGCCGUUGCCAAUACCGACUCUGACUCCACCGUCGUAGAAGUGCUGAAGGAGACAAGUUGGUUUUUAGAAACAGAUGUCACCCGCCCAUCAACCGACACCGCCGCCGACGCAUGCUCCACCGCCGUAGAAGUGCUGAGUGGGCAUCAUAACCCAGCUUCGGCGUUGAUUUCUCCGGCGGCUGAAUUGCGUAGUUGAGAGGUGUUUUGAAAGAUCUCAAAUCUCGAAAAAACAGAAUACAAAUCCAACACAAUCAGUUGCGAAGACGAAGGUGGCGGGUGACUGGUGACAGGCUGGCGACUAGCGACGGGUUCGAUGAUGGUGCGAAGAUGAUCGGCUGCAAAGUUCAACGGGUUCGAUGAUGGUGCGAAGAUGAUCGGCUGCGAAGUUCGAUGAUGGUGCCAAGAUGAUCGGCUGCGAAGAUAAAGGCGGCGGGCGGCGGGUAGGCAACUGGCGACGAGUGCAAAGAUUUCAAGGAUUUAAUUUUUUUUUUUAAAAUAUACUUACUAGGAGAGAGAAGCAAGAAUAUCACGUCGGUAGUGUGAGGAGUUCGUGUAAUUGAGUAGUGCUAUAUAGUAUUACUCUUAAAAAUAAAAUUAAAGUUAUGAUUUUCUCAA